GUCACGAUGGCUCAAGUGGUAGAGCAGUGGCGUUUCUAGCCUAAGAUCGUGGGUUCGAAUCCCGCUCGUGACA
rnacentral:tRNA from 1 species